AUAAAACCCAUUAGGAUUAGGUCACACAACCAAGCAUGAAAAUCACACUGUAUAUUUGUCCUAGAUUUAUGCGCAUUUCUACCUACCUUUGAGGGUAAUGAGACCAUUUUAACAUCAUCUCGAUCUUUCCGUUACACUUACUACUUCUUCCCCUCCCAUUACACCUCAUUAUUUUCUACUUUUCGCCCUCACUUUUCUCUUCUUUGCAUCAGUCUUUUUUCCUUUCCCCUCGUUUUUUCUCUCACUAUUCUUUCUUUCUCUUUUCUUCUCUCACUAUUUUCUUUCUUCUUAUCAUUUUUUAUGGCUUUUGCUUUUUUUUCAAAAUAGGAAAAUUAAGGAAAAACAAAGAAACAAAACGAUUAGAUCGAACCUAAAAAUAGGUUACCUACUUAUUAUGUUGUAUAUGAAUCAGUCUUGCGU
rnacentral:lncRNA from 1 species